rnacentral:rRNA from 1 species
GAUGAACGCUGGCGGCGUGCCUAAUACAUGCAAGUCGAGCGAACGGACGAGCAGCUUGCUUCUCUGAUGUUAGCGGCGGACGGGUGCGUAACACGUGGAUACCCUACCUAUAAGACUGGGAUAACUUCGGGAAACCGGAGCUAAUACCGGCUAAUAUUUUGAACCGCAUUGUUCAAAAGUGAAAGACGGUCUUGCUGUCACUUAUAGCUGGAUCCGCGCUGCAUUAGCUAGUUGGUCAGGUAACGGCUUACCAAGGCAACGAUGCAUAGCCGACCUGAGAGGGGGAUCGGCCACACGGGAACUGAGACACGGUCCAGACUCCUACGGGAGGCAGCAGAAGGGAAUCUUCGGCAAUGAGCGAAAGCCUGACGGAGCAACGCCGCGUGAGGGAUGAAGGUUUUCGGAUCGUAAAACUCUGUUAUUAGGGAAGAACAGAUGUGUAAGUAACUGUGCACAUCUUGACGGUACCUAAUCAGAAAGCCACGGCUAACUACGUG